ensembl:lncRNA novel transcript
AGGAGGUGGGCUACCACAGGGACAUGAGCUGCCUAACUGCCAUCCUCCUCCUGUAUCUGCCAGAGGAAGACACCUUCUGGGCACUGGAUCAGCUGAUGGCCGAGGAGGGACACUCCCUGCAGGGCAAAUCUGGAGAUUUUCUCAAGCCUCUUUAUGAAAAUGGAGAGACCUCACAAGAGAUGCUAAUGGACAGCUGACCCUGCUCCCUGCUCCAUCACAGGUUGUAG